rnacentral:rRNA from 1 species
GAUGAACGCUGGCGGCGUGCCUAAUACAUGCAAGUCGAGCGAACGGACGAGAAGCUUGCUUCUCUGAUGUUAGCGGCGGACGGGUGAGUAACACGUGGAUAACCUACCUAUAAGACUGGGAUAACUUCGGGAAACCGGAGCUAAUACCGGAUAAUAUUUUGAACCGCAUGGUUCAAAAGUGGAAGACGGUCUUGCUGUCACUUAUAGAUGUAUCCGCGCUGCAUUAGCUAGUUGGUAAGGUAACGGCUUACCAAGGCGACGAUGCGUAGCCGACCUGAGAGGGUGAUCGGCCACACUGGAACUGAGACACGGUCCAGACUCCUACGGGAGGCAGCAGUAGGGAAUCUUCCGCAAUGGGCGAAAGCCUGACGGAGCAACGCCGCGUGAGUGAUGAAGGUCUUCGGAUCGUAAAACUCUGUUAUUAGGGAAGAACAUAUGUGUAAGUAACUGUGCACAUCUUGACGGUACCUAAUCAGAAAGCCACGGCUAACUACGUG